rnacentral:rRNA from 1 species
AGAGUUUGAUCAUGGCUCAGGAUGAACGCUGGCGGCGUGCCUAAUACAUGCAAGUCGAGCGAACAGACGAGGAGCUUGCUCCUUUGACGUUAGCGGCGGACGGGUGAGUAACACGUGGGUAACCUACCUAUAAGACUGGGAUAACUUCGGGAAACCGGAGCUAAUACCGGAUAAUAUUUCGAACCGCAUGGUUCGAUAGUGAAAGAUGGCUCUGCUAUCACUUAUAGAUGGACCUGCGCCGUAUCAGCUAGUUGGUAAGGUAACGGCUUACCAAGGCAACGAUACGUAGCCGACCUGAGAGGGUGAUCGGCCACGCUGGAACUGAGACACGGUCCAGACUCCUACGGGAGGCAGCAGUAGGGAAUCUUCCGCAAUGGGCGAAAGCCUGACGGAGCAACGCCGCGUGAGUGAUGAAGGUCCUCGGAUCGUAAAACUCUGUUAUUAGGGAAGAACAAACGUGUAAGUAACUGUGCACGUCUUGACGGUACCUAAUCAGAAAGCCACGGCUAACUACGUGCCAGCAGCCGCGGUAAUACGUAGGUGGCAAGCGUUAUCCGGAAUUAUUGGGCGUAAAGCGCGCGUAGGUGGUUUUUUAAGUCUGGUGUGAAAGCCCACGGCUCAACCGUGGAGGGUCAUUGGAAACUGGAAAACUUGAGUGCAGAAGAGGAAAGUGGAAUUCCAUGUGUAGCGGUGAAAUGCGCAGAGAUAUGGAGGAACACCAGUGGCGAAGGCGACUUUCUGGUCUGUAACUGACGCUGAUGUGCGAAAGCGUGGGGAUCAAACAGGAUUAGAUACCCUGGUAGUCC